rnacentral:rRNA from 1 species
AGUGAACGCUGGCGGUAGGCCUAACACAUGCAAGUCGAACGGCAGCACAGUAAGAGCUUGCUCUUACGGGUGGCGAGUGGCGGACGGGUGAGGAAUACAUCGGAAUCUACUUUUUCGUGGGGGAUAACGUAGGGAAACUUACGCUAAUACCGCAUACGACCUACGGGUGAAAGCAGGGGAUCUUCGGACCUUGCGCGAUUGAAUGAGCCGAUGUCGGAUUAGCUAGUUGGCGGGGUAAAGGCCCACCAAGGCGACGAUCCGUAGCCGGUCUGAGAGGAUGAUCAGCCACACUGGAACUGAGACACGGUCCAGACUCCUACGGGAGGCAGCAGUGGGGAAUAUUGGACAAUGGGCGCAAGCCUGAUCCAGCCAUACCGCGUGGGUGAAGAAGGCCUUCGGGUUGUAAAGCCCUUUUGUUGGGAAAGAAAAGCAGCAGGUUAAUACCCCGCUGUCCUGACGGUACCCAAAGAAUAAGCACCGGCUAACUUCGUG